AACGAACGCUGGCGGCAUGCCUAACACAUGCAAGUCGAACGAGACCUUCGGGUCUAGUGGCGCACGGGUGCGUAACGCGUGGGAACCUGCCCUUAGGUUCGGCAUAACUCCCCGAAAGGGGUGCUAAUACCGGAUAAUGUCUUCGGACCAAAGAUUUAUCGCCUUUGGAUGGGCCCGCGUUGGAUUAGCUAGUUGGUAGGGUAAAAGCCUACCAAGGCGACGAUCCAUAGCUGGUCUGAGAGGAUGAUCAGCCACACUGGGACUGAGACACGGCCCAGACUCCUACGGGAGGCAGCAGUGGGGAAUAUUGGACAAUGGGCGAAAGCCUGAUCCAGCAAUGCCGCGUGAGUGAUGAAGGCCUUAGGGUUGUAAAGCUCUUUUACCCGGGAUGAUAAUGACAGUACCGGGAGAAUAAGCGCCGGCUAACUCCGUG
rnacentral:rRNA from 1 species